rnacentral:lncRNA from 1 species
UAACUAGAAAAACCAUUUGAAUAUUUUAAUAAGAUUAUGAUAUCCUCUUCAGGUAGAAAAUACAAGAACACAAAGCUUUAAGAUCGCUCAUGGAUGUUUGCUGUUUUUACUGAUUUCUACUCACAAAAUGCUACAGAAAUUCCGUGAACAUUGAUAUAGAAAAAAUAAGAAAGAAAUAAAGUACCACCCCUAUGUCACCUUCCUUUUCUUCGUGUGUGUGUGUGUGUGUGUGUGUGUGUGUGUGUGCAUGUGUGUGUGUGUCUGAUAUUAAAAAUUCAAGAGGUGGAUUUUCACCUGAAAGAGUUCCCUGUCUGUCUCCUUAUCACCCAAAGAGCUCAUUUUCCUUGGUUGGUGGGCUAAAAUUUAAGUCUUUCAUUUUUUCUCAGCUAAACUGAUACAGAUCUGGAUGACCAGAUGUGAGAGCACUCUUUCCAUCCUUUUGUGGGAGCCGUGUCAGGGUUAUCUGUUCCUCAUCUCUGCUCCAGAAAAGAUUUUUUCCUCUCUUGCCUCAGAAGACACAUCGUUCAAAAUAGUUUCAGCUUUUCAGACCAGUCUGUAAGGUUUCCAACUGCCAAUAGGAAGUAGGAAGGCACAGUAAUUGCCUGGGGUGGGUCUUCCAGGAGCAGUGAGGAACCAGAAAUAUACCCAAGGUGCAGUGGAACCGCUGGCUACAUGUCUGGCCAAUUGUUGCUACUACAUGUGAACGUAAGCCCAGUGUCAUAAGAUCUUCCAAAUUCCAACAAGAAGCCUGAAAAAUGGUGAUUUGAAUAUAUAUAAUCCUGAUGCUUAAAUACUGGUUCAUAUUUUUAAAAAAUAAUAUGCCAGUACAUUUUGUGUUUGGGAACUAAAUAGUUUGCCCAUAGCCAAUUCACUCUAUCAGCUAGCCCACUUUAUCCACCGUUAACUUAUAACUCAUGUUUGAGUACAAUUACAAAUAGAAAUAACUUAGAUCAUUCUGGAGAGAUGGUCCAGGGGUAAAAGUGCUUACUUAGAAAGUAUGAGAAUCAGAGUUCUAAUCUUAGCACCCAAGUAAAAACAAAACAAACAAAACAAAACAAAACAUCUUUAAAAUCUUUGAGGAUGAAGACAAGAAGAUGUUUAACCCUGAAAGGAGCGUGAGCCCACGUGACAGGAGAAAAGAAUGUAGUACUGCAAGCUGUCCUCUGACCUCCACAUGCAUGCCAUGGCACACACGUGACCACACGCGUAUGCACACAAACACAAAAUAAAACAAAUGUGAUAAAAUAAAGACAUUCGAAAGUACCCAUUACUUAGAUUUCUAUCAUGUCCUCCAAGUUUAAUACACCAACAUGUGUGAUAUAAGAUCAGUAGUUGUAUGUGUGGACGAUGGUAUGUGAGUGGAUGACAAAGUAGCACAUAGAUAAAUAGUCACAAUUCUCAACUGUGGAAAAUUGGCAAGAACUAAUAACAGACAAAAUUUUUUUUAACAGACAAAUUUUUAAAAGCAAAUAUAGAGCAUGGAUAUAUGACAAAUGGGAAUUGGGAAGGCAAGUGACAAUGCAUAAGAUGGAGAAUUCAACAACAAACAUGUGGUUUGGGAAAAAAGUAAAAACAUAGCAUUCGAAAGUUUAAAGUAUGACAGAUUGAAUCCUAAGUUCCAAGAAGACCAAGAGCAGUCCAGUGAGGACUCGGAAAUACAGCCUCAGAUGGAGUUGACAGAAACGGAAGUCCUGGGAGUUGGCUCCAUUGGGAAAGUACCUGUUAAAGAAGUACGAGGAUAGAUCUCUAGCAUGCAUAUAAAAUAAUCCGAUAUGUGUGUUCUCUCGGUACAGGGAAAGCAGAGACAAAUGGGGCUCUGAGACAUUCUGGCCACUUAGCAAAACCUACACAGUCACCUCCAGGGCAAUGAGAAACUGUGCCACAAAAUAAGGUAGACAAGUCCAGAGGAAAGAUGCUCAGGUUUGUCUUUUGGCCCCCACAAGCACAAUCAUACAUGCACACAUAUGUACAUGCAUCAUCAUAAGCACAUAUAUACAUACAUGCACUCAGGUAAGCAUGUGUGUGCUAGCACCAUACACAUACAAACACACACACACAUGCACACACAUCUGCAUGUAUGUGCUAGCACCAUACACACACGCACACAUACAUGCACACACACACAGACCGACACACACACAUGAAGUAUCAGAGAUAGUAUGCGCUGUGAACAAAUUCGGCUGGGUCAAUGAGUUUAACUUGACAGAACCAUACAGGGAAGAAAAGCAUGGAUUUUUUUUCCACUUGAAAAGAUGGAUAUGGUCCCUAGGACAAGACCCUUGUUUUACACACUUUGUCUCUCUUGGCAAUUUCUCACUGUGGCAUGUAUAUAGCAAGUACUUUUUAAAUGUUUCUUGGUUGGAGUCCUAAGAAUGUCACCCAGUAUAGAAGGUAAGACAUGAAUGGAGGAAGGGAUCCUGCAACAGCAUAAACAAGGAUUACUUAAAGGACAAAAAGCAAGAAGAGCAAAAGGGUGGAAGUCAAAUAAGAAGAGUGCUUUCUUUCUUCUUUUUAUUUUUUCCCUCUCUUUUCAUCUUUUGAACUUUUAUUUUCAAUUUUUUAUUGGAUAUUUAUUUGCAUUUCAAAUGUUAUCACCCUUUUCCGGCUUCGUCUCCGGAGACCCCCUAUCCCAUCCCCCUCUCCCUGCUUCUAUGAGGGUGUUCACCCACACAUCCACCCAGUCCCGCCUCCCCGCCCUCGCAUUCCCCUACACUGAGGCAUGGAGCCUUCCCAAGACCAAGGGCCUCUCCUCCAGUUGAUGUCCAACAAGGCCAUCCUCUGCUACAUAUGUGGCAUACAUAUAUUUCACAGAGAAUGGUUCUACAGAUUGAAACACUCCAGUGCAUUCUUUGGAGACAGGAGCUUAAAGUCAGCCGUUGGGGUUGGCAACGGGAGAAGGCUAGAAAAUGUAGCUCAUGUUUUAAAUUAAUCACUGGAACUAAUCAUGGGACCCUCCGUGUAUACUCUUUGGUUGGUGGGAGCUGGGGGGGGGGUCUGGAUAGUUGAUAUUGUUGUUCUUCCUAUGGGUUGCAAACACCUUUAGCUCCUUCAGUCCUUUCUCUAACUCCUCCAUUGGAGCCCCCAUGUUCAGUCCAAUCAUUGGCUGAGAGCAUCUGCCUCUGUAUUUGCCAGGCUCUGAAAGAGUCUCUCAGUAGACAGUUAUAUAAGGCUCCUGUCAGCAAGCACUUCUUGGCAUCCGCAAUAGUGUCUAGGUUUGGUUUCUGUUUAUGGGAUGGAGCCCCAGGUGGGGCAGUCUCUGGAUGGCCUUUCCUUCAGUCUGUUCCACACUUUGUUGAGAAGAGUGCUUUCAUAUAGAGAAUGGUCCUACAGAUUGCAACGCUCCAGUGCAUUCUUUGGAGACAGGAGCUUAAAGUCAGCCGUUGGGGUUGACAACAGGAGAAGGCUAGAAAAUGUGGCUCAUGUUUUAAAUUAAUCACUGGAACUAAUCACUGGGACUUCAGAAUACAUCCUUUGAUGAGUUGUAAGUCAAUCUGUGUAAGGCAAGUUUCCAAACCCACAAUUUAGCAACAUAACUGGUAAUAUAGAUCUAGUCUCAGAGACUAACAGGCAAUUAAUUGUGCUGCGUUUCAUUACAGGUUUCCUAAUUGAAAGAGUUUCCUGCUGAGAGGGCAAGCUUGGUAUACAUUAAAGGAUAAAAAUGAAAUGAGAUAUUUCAACCUUGACUUUUUUUAACAAUUAAAAACUUCAAAUAUAGACAUACCUGGGAAUGCACUGACCCACUUAAAUAUUUCAAAAUUUUCAAUUAACGACUGCUUGUGCUUAAAAAUAUACACCAAAAUAUAAAUAUGAUUAAAGGCUAACAAUUCUUUUAACAAAAUUCAGAUGUUGUUGGGUUGUGGUUUUUUUUUAAAUCUCUCAUUGCUCCAAAUGUUUAUAUCUUUCCCUGACAUGCAAAGAACCACAAAAAAAUCCCUCAGUGUAAUGAGAAUCAGUACUUUGCUCCUAGAAAAUUCAUGUAUCCUAUGUGUGCUAUACACUUCUGUAAGUCAAAUAUCUUUUGUUAUUUUUUUUCUAAUUGGUUGAACUUUUUGAAGAUUAAAUAUUCAGGUGUCUUCAAUAAUGUAUAAUCCAUCACCGCUCCACUAUCUUAUCCUACUGCUUUGUUAGACAUUGAAAUCUAAUAAGAAAUUGAAUUUCAUUUAAAUCACAUAGUUUUAUUGUUAAAAAGUUAAAAGUAGCAGAGUGUGAUCUCUUCACACACACACACACACACACACACACACAGAUCAAAAUGCAUAUCUUUUAAGCCUCAGAUCCACAGUAGCAUGUUACAUUAUUAUUUGGAUAACGUAUUAUAAAGUGCAUAACCGAUUCUUUUUUCUUUUUUCAACCCACAAAAGAAGUUGGCACCUCUGAAUUACUGAGCAACCAUUGACCAACAACUGGCAUGGCCUCUUAAAGCCCAUAACAGCACAGCUAACGGGAAGUGAGGUGUUAGGCUACAGAGUUAGGGAUGUAAAAAUGUCAAGCUACACUAAUAAUUCAUGCAUCCUGGAACCAUAAAGCCAGAGGCACGUCAAUAAUAAUGGCAAGCUCUUUGGAAAACAGGUAGAAUUAACAUCUUGUGUUUUAACUUUGAGAGACUAUCACAGAACUUUGGUAAAUCGUUUCCUCCAGCCAAUGAGGCUGCCGCUGUGUGUUUUAUGCAUUGCUGUUACAUAUUAUGCCUCCCAGACAUAUGGCUUCCAACUACAAGGCUACACACGCUGUUGGCUGACAAAGGGCCUGACACGGCAUAAUAGCAAAAUGUGUGGGCAAUAAAAAGGAGAGCAGAAAAUAAAUAUCAAUCCCUGAGGAAGUCGAGUGUGCCAGGGGAUACAGGCGAUUUCACAUGCAGAAAGUACAGGCACAGGAUGCUAGGGGAUUGAAGGGCAUCCUGGGGGGGGGGCGAUAUGUUCAUCAUAAUAAAAUUUGCUUAGAUUAUUUUUUUUAUCUCUUUACAUUUCUGAGAACAGGAUGGUCUAUUGUAGAAAUCACACUUAGAAGUGAGACUGCAAUUCUGCGCUUACAAAACUAUAAGCUCUCCGGCAUUUAACCAUUUUUCUCCCCAUUGUCAUCAGAUUUGAAAGAAGUUUUGAGAAAACAGCUGCAUUAGAAGACCAAGGGAGUUCCAGGAACAAGAUGAGAAGAGUAUUUUACUGUAUGGAACAUGUUCUUCAUUACGACUCUGGCAACUAAAACAGUCACUAUGGCUGGUUAUCAAUUAAGUCCCUAUCAAAAAAAGAAUAUCCUUUAGAUCUCCCUUUAAUGAGGAUAAAAUGUUUUUACACUGAUCAUGAUUUUCUUAAUGCAAGUCUAUUUCUAACUUAUCAGUCGAGUCCUGGCUCUUAAAUGUAGCAUUUGAAUCAACUGCCCAGGAACUUUGAAUGGCACCCACCCACCCAUUAGAAGGCAAAGAGAUGAAUUAGAAGCAGCUGAUAAAAUCCUUGGUAUGAUUUGCGGCACUUUAACAAAGGACAUUUUGUAUAUGUAACAAAAUCACAACAAAAUAUAGAGUGCCUUGUUACAAAGGGAUCAGCUAUGCAUUACUUGAAACUUCCAUCCUGAGACUGCAAAUGCAGAGUACAUACUGAGUAAUUGCUACUCAACAGGAAUUGAUUCUGUUGUCAGGGAAUUGGCCGUAAUGAAAAAAGAUCAUCUGCAAAUAAUAAUUAAGGGGUAAUACAAUUAAGAUUCUGAAAAUAGAAUAAAAUGUGCAUACCGAUGCACUGAGACUGAUAAAAAAAAAUAAAAAGCAGAUCACUUCAAUCCAGUUCGCACCUACAUUGUUUGGCUACUAAUAAAGUGUAGCAGUUUUAAAUUCUUUUAAAGUCGUUUUUGAAAAAAAAGGAAGAAAGAAAAGAAUAGAAAGAUCUAUCAGUUGCAUCAACACUGGUUUGGCUCAGUUGAAGUCACAGGCUGGUUUAGGAAAAUUGGAUUUUCCUGAUCUUCUAUUGAUUUUUAGCAAAUUUAAAACUGUCGCUCUCUGCUGAUUCUGCUGAUCCACAAAUUCAAAAUGUCCAAACAAUUUACAUAUCACUGAAAAAUGACUGUUUUAACUCACUGUAUUUAUAAAGCAGCACUCUUUUGUGGCAACUGCAACUAGCCGACUACAGAUUGAACACGCUGACAUUCUUUCUAGCGUACAGUGAAGUCUCUCUCUCUCUCUCUCUCUCUCUCUCUCUCUCUCUCUCUUUGGUCAGCCAUAACAUAUUGACUGGGAAAUAAAACCAUUUCUCAUUUCCUUUCUGAUAGUUUAAUGAUCAGUAUCUCAAUUGUUCUCUGUAGUUUUUAAUAAAACUAAGUAGUACUGGAUAGGUCAAUACCCUAUAAGGGUUACUACAUCAUUUUAGCAGCCCAUGCAAAGAUAUUGUUUUUUUUCUUCUUCUUCUUAAGUUUCUUAUAAAAAUUCUAUCAGGCAAUAAAUAUACUAUUCAGCUUCUGUUAUUCCCAAAACCCUGU